rnacentral:rRNA from 1 species
UACGUAGGGUGCGAGCGUUAAUCGGAAUUACUGGGCGUAAAGCGUGCGCAGGCGGCUUUGCAAGACAGUUGUGAAAUCCCCGGGCUCAACCUGGGAACUGCAUUUGUGACUGCAAGGCUAGAGUACGGCAGAGGGGGAUGGAAUUCCGCGUGUAGCAGUGAAAUGCGUAGAUAUGCGGAGGAACACCAAUGGCGAAGGCAAUCCCCUGGGCCUGUACUGACGCUCAUGCACGAAAGCGUGGGGAGCAAACAGG